UGAACUCGCGAGUGAUGGAGUGAGAUCUCUGAUGGAGUCUUUAUAUGAGCCGCUUCUCUUCGCCGGAUAAACCCUUGUUUCUAUUUUGGUUUUCGUGCCGCUCUCAGCUAUCUUCUCCAUCUCUCCAAUCGUCCGAUUAACGUAACUCCACUUCUUGUGGCGGCGAUUCGCAUCUAGCAAAAACCCUAGUCGACUUCAAUGGGAGACUUCAACGAUGCCUUCAUGCGGAACAACCCUAACGUUCAGGCCCGUGCAAAGGCCCAGAAUCGCGCUAAUGUCAUGCAACUCAAGCUUAUUGGUCAAAGUCAUCCAACUGGGUUGACUGCUAAUCUUCUGAAGCUGUUUGAGCCCCGCCCACCUUUGGAGUACAAACCACCCCCUGAGAAGAGAAAAUGCCCUUCAUAUACUGGGAUGGCACAAUUUGUUAGUAACUUCGCUCAACCUGGUGAUCCAGAAUAUGCUCCACCAAUCCCUGAGGUUGAAACCCCGACUGAACGAAGAGCUAGGAUCCACAAGUUACGGCUGGAGGAGGGUGCUAAAAAGGCUGCUGAGGAGCUUGAAAAAUAUGAUCCUAGCAGCGACCCAAAUGUUACCGGAGAUCCAUACAAGACACUCUUUGUUGCAAGACUUAAUUAUGAAACAACAGAAAGCAGAGUCAAACGCGAAUUCGAGGCUUAUGGUCCAAUCAAGCGGGUUCGCUUGGUUAUGGACAAGACAAACAAUAAACCCAGGGGUUAUGCUUUCAUUGAGUAUGUGCAUACACGGGAUAUGAAAGCUGCAUAUAAACAAGCUGAUGGAAAGAAGAUUGAUAAUAGAAGAGUGCUGGUUGAUGUUGAACGUGGUAGAACAGUCCCCAAUUGGCGGCCCCGCAGACUUGGCGGUGGACUUGGAACAACAAGAGUUGGAAAUGAAGAUGCUAAUAGAGAGGUGGUUCAGCCGGGAAGGGCAGCAUCUCGCUCUGAGGAGCCAAGAGCACGAGAUGACAGGGACAGCAGGGAUCGGGAGAAGUCCCGUGAAAGGGUGCGAGAUAAGGACAGAGAGAAAUCUCGUGAGCGUUCUCAUGACAGACCAAGGGAACGUGAAAGAGAUGACAAACAUCAUAGGGAACGCGAAAGAACCAGAGAAAGAGAAAAAGAUCGCGGUCGUGACCGUGAUCGAGACCGCGAACGUGAUAGGACACGUGACCGUGAGCGAGGCAAAGACAAAGACCGGGAUGGUCACCGUGAGCGAGAUCGCCACCGCGAGAAGGACAGGGAAAAAGGUAGGGAUGAAGGUGAGGUUGACCAGGGUCGUGGGCGUUCUCGUGAUAGAGAAUAUGAUUAUGAGCAUGUUGAAUCAAAACACGAGCGGGGCCGACAUGGUGACAAAGAAAGGAAUUAUGAUCCUGCCGAACCUGAAGAUGAUCAUGGACAUUAUGACUAUUAUGAUCACCACCGAGGUCGAGGAGACUAUGAGAAUCCAGAUGCACAAGGUGGUGAUGAUCGCUAUAAAGAUGCCAGUCGUGGUCACGAUCGUUAUGAUCAAAUGGAAGAGGAUAAUUAUGCCUAUGACCACGGGGCAUCUGAGGCAAAAGAAAGGGACCAGGAUUACAAGCGUUCAGAUAGGUCACAUUCUCGUGAAUAUGACUACUGACGAUGAAGAGUAUGCUUCAGCUUGUGUUGCUGUGGUAAGGUUGCAAUAAAAUCCAUAUGCUAUGAAGACAUGGCCUACUGAUACCUCAAUGAAAAUGCAACUAUCUGUUGAAAUACCUGCUUGACUAGUGCGGGAAUGGAAACACUAAGAUGAUGGUGCGGCACAUCGGCCCAUGUUUUGAAUUUUGUAUCUGCUUUUGGAAUUGUUUGGUAAAUUACUUGCUGAGUUCUUAUGUGAACUUGUUAAAUGUGAA